CCUACGGGUGGCUGCAGUGAGGAAUAUUGGUCAAUGGGCGGAAGCCUGAACCAGCCAAGUAGCGUGCAGGAUGACGGCCCUACGGGUUGUAAACUGCUUUUAUACGGGAAUAACGCGCCUUACGUGUAGGGCUUUGCAUGUACCGUAUGAAUAAGGACCGGCUAAUUCCGUGCCAGCAGCCGCGGUAAUACGGAAGGUCCGGGCGUUAUCCGGAUUUAUUGGGGUGAAAGGGAGCGUAGGCGGCAUGUCAAGCGUGCUGUGAAAUGUCCGGGCUCAACCCGGGCCUUGCAGCGCGAACGGGCGGGCUUGAGUCUGCGGAAGGCAGGCGGAAUUCGAGGUGUAGCGGUGAAAUGCUUAGAUAUGACGAAGAACCCCGAUUGCGAAGGCAGCUUGCUGCAGCGGAACUGACGCUGAUGCGCGAAAGCGCGGGGAUCGAACAGGAUUAGAUACCCUGGUAGUC
rnacentral:rRNA from 1 species